GAUUGGAUGUAAAAGUCGUAACAAGGUCUCCGUUGGUGAACCAGCGGAGGGAGUCAUUA
rnacentral:rRNA from 1 species